GAUGAACGCUGGCGGCGUGCCUAACACAUGCAAGUCGAGCGAACAGACGAGGAGCUUGCUCCUUUGACGUUAGCGGCGGACGGGUGAGUAACACGUGGAUAACCUACCUAUAAGACUGGGAUAACUUCGGGAAACCGGAGCUAAUACCGGAUAACAUGUUGAACCGCAUGGUUCAACAGUGAAAGACGGUCUUGCUGUCACUUAUAGAUGGUUCCGCGCCGCAUUAGCUAGUUGGUAAGGUAACGGCUUACCAAGGCAACGAUGCGUAGCCGACCUGAGAGGGUGAUCAGCCACACUGGAACUGAGACACGGUCCAGACUCCUACGGGAGGCAGCAGUAGGGAAUCUUCCGCAAUGGGCGAAAGCCUGACGGAGCAACGCCGCGUGAGUGAAGAAGGUCUUCGGAUCGUAAAGCUCUGUUAUUAGGGAAGAACAAAUGUGUAAGUAACUAUGCACGUCUUGACGGUACCUAAUCAGAAAGCCACGGCUAACUACGUG
rnacentral:rRNA from 1 species